AACGCGAAUGGCACUGUUACGCAAGUAGCAGUAUGUCUGUUUGAGAAUCGCAAAACACGAUCAACUCUAGUUAAGAGUUGGAAUUGACCUCAUGGUUACAGCAAUGUCCAUUUGGUUUAAAUGAAUUGAGUUGAUGAGCUUUCCAGCAAUGCUCAAUGUGUGCCAACGAGACAGACGUCCCGAUCUCACAUUGUAUAGCGAUUGUUGCUGAGUUCUAACCUUACAGCUCGCAAAUAUUUAAAAUCAAUUACGAUCUCAAAUCAGGCAAGAUUACCCGCUGAACUUAA
rnacentral:misc_RNA from 1 species